GCAAGGAAGUGUUGAAAAUAUUGCACAGUUAAUAAAACGCCUACGCUAUUAAUAUGUGGGUUGAUACACUCGUUAUGCAAAACGGAGGCGAGUGCCUAAUGCGGACAAAAUCGAGUGCAUCGAGACUUAGAACGACAGAAAGCUGAGCUAGUUGGUAAGGAUUCAUUAUGCAAAACAGAGGUCAGGCGUGCAGACAGGACACAAGAGUAGAGAAGUGGGCGGCGCUCGUGUUGUUUGCUUGUAAAUACUCUACUCUUGUGUCCUGUCUGCACGCCUCACCUCCGUUUUGCAUAACGAGUGCAUCAACCCACAUAUUAAUAGCGUAGGCGUUUUAUUAACUGUGCAAUAUUUUCAGCACUUCCUUGCAUGCCAUUUCAUGCGGAAUAUCUUUUCUGGUCACAAAUUUGUGCAGCUAAUUUAUUUGCAUGAUUGACUCCGGGCCUGUGGGACCGUUCUCUUGCACUUGAUGCUGAGUCUUUUACAUGUAUCCAGAAACUGCAGAUAUGCACAUCAGAUCCCUGCGAGCAUUUUCAAAAUUCAAUUAUUUUAGACAACAGGCACAUAUGCAAUACUGACAUAAUCUCAAAUACCACUAAGCAGCUGGGACACAAUUUUUGUUGACCAUACUCGCAGGUAAAAUAAGUAGAUCAUGUGGACAGCUCCAGCUCAUUUUCCUUAAAUCACUGUGUACAAGGGGUAUGCAAAAAUAAUUUUUUUCUCGCGCACCGAUUAUUUUUGCUGUAUAAGCAAGAGAACCCACGACUUUAGUGUAACGUAUCUUGUACAACACAUUAAUAUGUGCUUUAAUUUACCAAGUGAGACGAGUUACAUUUAUGGCUCAUUCAGUCAUGUCACACUGCAAGCUUCAUUCAUCAAUUUUCAAUUGGAUUUUGCAAAUGUUUAAUGAAACAUGUUUCCCUUUUAUGCAGAUAUGCAAUGGCAAGCCCUUCCGUGUGUUCCAAAGGUAAAAUUUAAGCUCUAAAUUAAAGAAGACAUUUCUAGUCAGAAACAAGCAUAAAUGGUGAAUGCAGAGUAUCAGAAACCCAAGGUACAGAAAUUAUGAGAAGUGUUGAAUGAUUUUAAGGAAAGAAUGGUAUUUGAAAAUGCAAGACUUUAGUGGAAGUCAAGCAAGUCAAUAUAGGUAGAAUACUCUGCAAAAUUAUGCGAGUGAUGGGAUGGCAAACAAUGGGUCAGGAAAUGCGUAGUUCUUCUGCAAAACAAAAGCUGAUGAUUGUCAUUACAUAAUUCACUUUAGCAUCACGAGACUGCUGCUUGAUAAAUUCAGAAACAAACCAAAAAACAAGACACGCAAAAA